GAUGAACGCUAGCGGCAGGCUUAACACAUGCAAGUCGAGGGGUAUAGUUCUUCGGAGCUAGAGACCGGCGCACGGGUGCGUAACGCGUAUGCAAUCUACCUUUUACAGAGGGAUAGCCCAGAGAAAUUUGGAUUAAUACCUCAUAGUAUGUGAGAAUCGCAUGGUUUUCACAUUAAAGUUCCAACGGUAAAAGAUGAGCAUGCGUCCCAUUAGCUAGAUGGUAAGUAACGGCUUACCAUGGCGACGAUGGGUAGGGGUCCUGAGAGGGGAGAUCCCCCANACUGGUACUGAGACACGGACCAGACUCCUACGGGAGGCAGCAGUGAGGAAUAUUGGUCAAUGGGCGCAAGCCUGAACCAGCCAUGCCGCGUGCAGGAAGAAGCAUCUAAUGGUGUGUAAACUGCUUUUG
rnacentral:rRNA from 1 species